GAUGAAGAACGCAGCGAAAUGCGAUACUUGGUGUGAAUUGCAGAAUCCCGUGAACCAUCGAGUCUUUGAACGCAAGUUGCCCCCGAAGCCAUCAGGUUGAGGGCACGUCUGCCUGGGCGUCACAUAUCGUUGCCCAAUGCCUAUUGCAGUGCAAUAGGAAUUUCUAGGGCGAAUGAUGGCUUCCCGUGAGCGUUGUUGCCUCGCGGUUGGUUGAAAAUCGAGUCCUUGGUAGGGUGUGCCAUGGUAGAUGGUGGUCGAGUUAGAACGAUACCGAUCAUGUGCAUGCUCCCCAAAAUAUGGCCUCUAUGACCCACACGCGUCUUUUGACGCUCAUGACGAGACCUCAGGUCAGGCGGGGCUACCCGCUGAAUUUAAGCAUAUCAAUAAGCGGAGGA
rnacentral:misc_RNA from 1 species